GCAGUAGCCGCGGGAAUACAGAGGGUGCGAGCGUUAAUCGGAUUUACUGGGCGUAAAGCGUGCGUAGGCGGCUUCUUAAGUCGGAUGUGAAAUCCCUGAGCUUAACUUAGGAAUUGCAUUCGAUACUGGGAAGCUAGAGUAUGGGAGAGGAUGGUAGAAUUCCAGGUGUAGCGGUGAAAUGCGUAGAGAUCUGGAGGAAUACCGAUGGCGAAGGCAGCCAUCUGGCCUAAUACUGACGCUGAGGUACGAAAGCAUGGGGAGCAAACAGGAUUAGAUACCCGGGUAGUCCCUGUCUCUUAUAC
rnacentral:rRNA from 1 species